AUUGACCACGAAAUACAUCUCUUUCACGCAACACAUUGCCUGACGUCAAGGGGCAAGAAACCUGAGAUUUUAGUUCACGAAAAUUCCGCCACAUGGCGCUAGCUGUACUCGCGGUAGGCGGAGCCGAGAGAAAUGGUGGUCAAUACUUUUCCGGUUUUGCUCGAAGGAGGGUCAAAACUUUCGCGUUUUCUAGAAGUUAGUUCACCAAAAAUCCGCCACAUGGCGCUAGCUGUACUCGCGGUAGGCGGAGCUUGAAGAAAAUGGCGGCACCCAGAGAAAUGCGUGGAAAAUUCGCAUAAUUGAUUAAGAAAUCGGAAAAAAUCGGAAAAAAUCAGAAAAAAUCGAAAGAAAUCGGAGAAAAUCGGAAAAGAUUGAAAAAAAUUGAGAAAAAUUGCUUUUUUGUUUAAAAAGAGAAUUGAGCUCUUAGGAUUAGGCAUAGACCAUAAUUGUAGUCGCCACAGCAAAACGAGUUAAAGGAUGCUCGAAUCAACAAAGGAGACUGCAGCGAUGAAGUUGUACUGGAGGAAGAAUAACCACCUCCACUUUAACUCGAAGAUUUGAUUCGCAGAGUCCUUAGCGGAGGAUGAUCAACCAAUUUCUGUGUAUGUAACUUCGCUUGCACGUCCUCAGUUGCCUGUCAGGGGCCAGGAAAGAUGCGACGAAGCCAAUCAUCAUACAUGCAGAGUGGAUAAUUGCUCUAAUUAAGUUAUUAUAUGGGUUGAAUCGUACUGUGUGCAUAUUUUCUUUAUAACUAUGAAAUCAUUAUUUUGAUGUGACUAUUGAAAGUUAUAUUGUAAUAACGAAGCAAUGAAUAUAUCUGUAGAAAUGAAUCCCGAACAUGUAUGACGAUGUACAAACAUGUAUUUGUGACCUUUAAUUUAUCAAUAUAUCUGACGACUUUGAGUACAAGA